rnacentral:misc_RNA from 1 species
GAUGAAGAACGUAGCGAAAUGCGAUAAGUAAUGUGAAUUGCAGAAUUCAGUGAAUCAUCGAAUCUUUGAACGCACAUUGCGCCCGCUAGUAUUCUGGCGGGCAUGCCUGUUCGAGCGUCAUUUCAACCCUCAAGCACAGCUUGGUGUUGGGACUCGCGUUAAUUCGCGUUCCCCAAAUUGAUUGGCGGUCACGUCGAGCUUCCAUAGCGUAGUAGUAAAACCCUCGUUACUGGUAAUCGUCGCGGCCACGCCGUUAAACCCCAACUUCUGAAUGUUGACCUCGGAUCAGGUAGGAAUACCCGCUGAACUUAAGCAUAUCAAUAAGCGGAGGA